GAACGGUAGCACAGAGGAGCUUGCUCCUUGGGUGACGAGUGGCGGACGGGUGAGUAAUGUCUGGGAAACUGCCCGAUGGAGGGGGAUAACUACUGGAAACGGUAGCUAAUACCGCAUAACGUAUUCGGACCAAAGUGGGGGACCUUCGGGCCUCACACCAUCGGAUGUGCCCAGAUGGGAUUAGCUAGUAGGUGGGGUAAUGGCUCACCUAGGCGACGAUCCCUAGCUGGUAUGAGAGGAUGACCAGCCACACUGGAACUGAGACACGGUCCAGACUACCUACGGGAGGCAGCAGUGGGGAAUAUUGCACAAUGGGCGCAAGCCUGAUGCAGCCAUGCCGCGUGUAUGAAGAAGGCCUUCGGGUUGUAAAGUACUUUCAGUGGGGAGGAAGGCGUUAAGGUUAAUAACCUUGGCGAUUGACGUGCACCCGCAGAAGAAGCACCGGCUAACUCCGUG
rnacentral:rRNA from 1 species